rnacentral:rRNA from 1 species
UACAGAGGGGGCAAGCGUUAUUCGGAAUUAUUGGGCGUAAAGGGCGCGUAGGCGGCCUGGCAAGUGGAUGGUGAAAUCCCUCGGCUUAACCGAGGAACUGCCAUCCAGACUGCUUGGCUUGAGACCGGGAGAGGUGAGUGGAAUUCCCAGUGUAGCGGUGAAAUGCGUAGAUAUUGGGAGGAACACCAGUGGCGAAGGCGGCUCACUGGACCGGAACUGACGCUGAGGAGCGAAAGCGUGGGUAGCAAACAGG